rnacentral:rRNA from 1 species
AUUGAACGCUGGCGGCAUGCUUUACACAUGCAAGUCGAACGGCAGCGCGGGCUUCGGCCUGGCGGCGAGUGGCGAACGGGUGAGUAAUGCAUCGGAACGUGCCCAGUAGUGGGGGAUAGCCCGGCGAAAGCCGGAUUAAUACCGCAUACGACCUGAGGGUGAAAGCGGGGGGGCGAGAGGCCUCGCGCUAUUGGAAGGGCCGAUGUCGGAUUAGCUAGUGGGUGGGGUAAAGGCUUAACAAGGCGACGAUCCGUUGCUGGUCUGAGGGGGCGACCAGCCACACUGGGACUGAGACACGGCCCAGACUCCUACGGGAGGCAGCAGUGGGGAAGUUUGGACAAUGGGGGCAACCCUGAUCCAGCCAUGCCGCGUGCGGGAAGAAGGCCUUCGGGUUGUAAACCGCUUUUGUUCGGGAAGAAAUCCUCUGGGCUAAUACCCCGGGGGGAUGACGGUACCGGAAGAAUAAGCACCGGCUAACUACGUG